UACGUAGGGUGCGAGCGUUGUCCGGAAUCAUUGGGCGUAAAGAGCGUGUAGGCGGCCCGGUAAGUCCGCUGUGAAAGUCGAGGGCUCAACCCUCGAAUGCCGGCGGAUACUGUCGGGCUAGAGUCCGGAAGAGGCGAGUGGAAUUCCUGGUGUAGCGGUGAAAUGCGCAGAUAUCAGGAGGAACACCGGUGGCGAAGGCGGGUCUCUGGGCCGAUACUGACGCUGAGGAGCGAAAGCGUGGGGAGCGAACAGG
rnacentral:rRNA from 1 species